GCAGCAGCCGCGGGAAUACGAAGGGGGCUAGCGUUGCUCGGAAUCACUGGGCGUAAAGGGUGCGUAGGCGGGUCUUUAAGUCAGGGGUGAAAUCCUGGAGCUCAACUCCAGAACUGCCUUUGAUACUGAAGAUCUUGAGUAUGGGAGAGGUGAGUGGAACUGCGAGUGUAGAGGUGAAAUUCGUAGAUAUUCGGAGGAACACCAGUGGCGAAGGCGGCUCACUGGUCCAUUACUGACGCUGAGGUGCGAAAGCGUGGGGAGCAAACAGGAUUAGAUACCCCCGUAGUCCCUGUCUCUUAUAC
rnacentral:rRNA from 1 species